GAUGGAUACAGUAUUCAAAGUGUCUACUUUGGAAAUGUGUUUUAUUUCUGGGAAUAUAUCCCUGCACUUGGACAAGUAAGGGAUGCAAAGGAACAAAACUAUCAUGUUAUAUCCGAACCAACUGUAUAGGGGGUUGAAUUGGCAUCAAACAGGAGUUGAGGUCUUGGGCAGAUUAAACCAACAAAGACUUGUAGAGACAAAAACAAAAGGAUGGGAAGAGGACAAAAAGAACAUUUGGU